CAGGAGCUGCCGUGACGGGGGCCUGACUCGUGGGGCACCGCCUGUGUCUUGCCCCACACACCCAGGAGCUGCCGUGACGGGGGCCUGACCCGUGGGGCACCGCCUGUGUCUUGCCCCACACACCCAGGAACGGAGGCCUGACACAUUGGGCGCCCGCGCUGAUAACGACCAAGACUGGAGACCAAGAUGCCGGACCAGGAGUGGGAGACAUCACGAAGAGUCAUACAAAAAUGGAUAGGUCAAUUUAGGUCAAGAAAUGCUGUAUAAAGGACAUAAGGAGUGUCACUUUAAUAGCGGCGAUGAUAUUGUGCUUGGUUCAGUGUGUUAGUGAGGAUAGGCUGUCACUGGUUAGCUGGUGUUGGUAGAGCGAGGCACCACCUCAGUGUAAUAUAUCAAGUUAUUUAUAUUACAGCAACACUUACAAAUCAACUCAUCCCUUUCCCUUCAAGCAAUAGUUCUAACACCUUUAAUUUAAUGACUGAAUGUUUCCUUGAAAUGCCAGAAUUUUCUGUUUUCUCCACUCCCACACGAUCUCAGCGUGUAACGAAACUCACGAGGAAUUAAUCCAGACAAGGAAAGGUUUUACCGGCGCCGGGGAUCAAACCCGCGACCAGCGUAACGGGAGAGCCACUCCUUUACCAGUCGGCCAAAGAGGUAUCCAGUGUUAUCCACCCCUGGCUAAGUGAGUUAUGGAAGGCAAGUCAGCAUUACAUCCUUCCUUCUUUUUUCAUUUCCUUGUUUUCUUUUUGACCCAUUUUCUCUGAUUCUUUGUUUUUCUUCAGUUUUCUCUCUCAACCAUUCUCUCCUCCUCCUCCUCCUCCUCCUCCUUUCUGUCUAUCUUCAUCCUUUCCUUCCUUUUCAUAAGUCUUAAGUUAUCUUUUACUUGACAUUCUUUCUGGUGGUCAAAUCUUGCAUCUCUUUUUUUUUUUUUUUUUUUUCCUUUUGUCCAUUCUCUCUCCUCCUCCUCCUCCUCCUCUCUGUUUUUCUUCAUCCCUUCCUUCCUUAUAAUGAGUCCAAGUUAUCUUUUGCUUAAUUAACGUUUAUAAUUCUUUCUGGUGGUCAAAUCUUGCAUCUCAUUUUCCAAUCGUACAUUCUCUCUCCUCCUCCUCCUCCUGCUCAUAAUCCAGUUCCUUCUAUUCUCCUUUCUCCUUUAUUCCUUUUUCACUUUUCCUCCUUCUCUUUUCCAUUCCCCUUCCCCGACUUUCCUCCAUUCUUUCCUCCUCUAUUCUUCCUUCAUCUCCUCUUCCUCCAAUUCUUUCUAUAUCCGUUUCUCCUUUUUCUCCUUUCACUCCUCCUCCUCCUCUCUGUCUAUCUUCAUCCCUUCCUUCCUUUUAAUAAGUCCAAGUUAUCUUUUGCGUGACGUUCUUUCUAAUGGUCAAAUCUUACAUCUCAUUUUCUUUCAUUCAUUCUCUCUCCUCCUCCUCUGUCUAUCUUCAUCCCUUCCUUCCUUUUAAUAAGUCCAAGUUAUCUUUUGCGUGACGUUCUUUCUAAUGGUCAAAUCUUACAUCUCAUUUCCUUUCGUUCAUUCUCUCUCCUCCUCCUCCUCCUCCUUCUCCUCUGUCUAUCUUCAUCCCUUCCUUCCUUUUAAUAAGUCCAAGUUAUCUUUUGCUUGAGGUUCUUUCUAGUGUGUUUGUGGUGCCCGGCUCUGCUCACAAGUUUGUUUUGUCAUUGUAUAAUUGUCAGUCCUAGUUUUUGUCUGUAUAAUUGUCAGUCUAGUUUUUGUCACCGUGUAAUUGUCAGUCCUAGUUAGUUUUGUCACUAUAAUUGUCAGUCCUAGUUAGUUUUGUCACUGUAUAAUUGUCAGUCCCAGCCAGGCGCCUCUUCCAUGUAAAGAUAUCGGCAGCUUCAAGCCUUGCCGAUAUCUCAAUCCGUACGUGAAUGUAAAUUAACCGAAAUCCUUGUUACUAAGCCCUGCACGGUGCUCUCUCACAUAAUGCUUCUUUAAAUUUUCAGUCACUUAACUUCCGGGGUUAGUACUAUAUUUUGCCAUAAGUUAACUCCCCGUGAUGGCCAGUUUCAUGUACUAUAUAUAAGUAAUUUGCCUUUUGCAUGGCUAUAAUUCUGCACCCGUGUCUAAGGCCCAGUUUCACAGUUCCUCAUGAUGGGUUAGUAAGCUCCGAAACCAAUACCAGAGCCUUCGAAAUUUCCUUGUACGGUGUCUGGAGUUUAUAUUCAAGUUCACAAAUUUGACGAGACUAUACAGGAAAGGUCUUGUGUGUUUAUGGUACGUAGGAAAGGUUGGAGAAGGGAGAUGAGAUUGGGAGAGGAGUGAGCCGAGAUGGUGUUUAUAUUCAAGUUCACAAGUUUGACGAGACUAUACAGGAAAGGUCUUGUGUGUUUAUGGUACGUAGGAAAGGUUGGAGAAGGGAGAUGAGAUUGGGAGAUGAGUGAGCCGAGAUGGUGUUUAUAUUCAAGUUCACAAGUUUGACGAGACUAUACAGGAAAGGUCUUGUGUGUUUAUGGUACGUAGGAAAGGGAGGGGAAGGGAGAAGAGAUUGAGAGACGAGUGAGCUGAGAUGGUGUUUAUAUUCAAGUUCACAAAUUUGACAACACAAUACAGGAAAAGCUCUGUGUAUUUAGUGUGUCAUCGAAGACCGCGCCAUUUAGAACAGUAUGGGAUUCUAUAGCUUGGUUCGGGAGUGUUACAAAGACCAUGAUGGACUGUGGAAGCGGCCCUUAAUGUUCCCUUUUCUAAUAUGCCUCUCUGUUUUUGCAGGAUGCCGCGGACGGACCAUGCAGAGGACUCAUCGCGACGACACCAACGGUUUGGUUAAGUGGGUUCUCUUGUGUGUGCGUCUGUGUGUGAAUGGCAGGCCUGUCGUAUGAUUGUGUGUGUGUGUGCGUGGGCGUUAUGCCUUCGCACUAUUAUUUUGUUAGGAUGUAUUUUUGUGUGUGAACUUUUUGCACGUAAUCUUUUUUUAUACCCAUAGCUAGCGUUUGUUUGUGUGGCAGUGUUCCGGGAGAUGGACGCCGGGGGACAUGGGCUUGGGGAGGCGCACAUGACCUCCUCUGUCCGUGACCUCUUCAGCUGGGGAGACCGUGUGUUGCCCCGCCUGGAGAGACACGUUGAUGGAGGUGGCCGUGUGUGUCACCCUUUGCCUGUAUCCUCUGGCGCCCAGAGGCGCGUAAGUGGAGAGCAUCGGCGCAGCGCGGGAGCAGCACGUCAGGGUGUAGGGUGUUUGUUUAGCUGGUGUAGGGUGUUAGGGUGUUAGGGUGUUAGGUGUAACAACGGUUGGCUCUUUCACAGAACGGGUGUGAUUCCGUUCUGCGUUUGAGUCUUCCACCUUCAGACGGUCUCCCUCCGAGAUGUCUGAAGUUUUUUUUGUCGGUUUUCUCCGUAGGAGGAAGCCGAC